UUUCAAAAAAUAAAAAGUUUGAAAAGGUAGUGUAAUGGGAUUAGUGUGGUGUGUGUGAAGAUUACAAUACUUGAAUGAGGCACAAAUCACAUUAUUGUGGGAGCACCUCGUCCAAGAGUAUGAAUUAGGCUUUUGUGAAGGUUUGAAUCCUGCCUACACAUUGUUUGAAGUAACACAGCUACUGUAGUAGGUGAAAGCUGUGUGGUGGAAACCCUUGGUAGAGCAUGGCUGGAGUAGGCAUUGUGGUGCUCAUGUGAAUUUCCUUCGUUUUUUCCCGCUUCUGACCAAUGCCUAUUUCGCAUUUUUAUAAUUAGAAUUGAAAGUUAAGUCACUGUAUCUAUAUGGCGAUAUGAUAACGAUGUGAAUGUGAUGCAGAACUCUCCUCUUUUAAAAGAGUCAAAAUGCACUUUAUAAAAAAAGUAUUAAAUUAGCUACUGAGUCUGACACCAAUUUACUCCUCCUGACUCCCACUGGUCACCCCCUUCAUAAGAGCAUGUGAGUCCAGUUAGCCAGGAGAAUUUGAUGAAUCAUUUUGAAUGCCCAGUAUUGUUGUUCUCUUUUCUACUAAACUAGGCCCGUGGAGAGAGACUGCUCAUUGGCCGAGAGGAGGGAAGGAGAAGACUGGGCGAUAGAGGAGUCACUGGGGUCUCCUGGGAAUGGUUAAUAUUUGAAGCAUAUAAGGUUUAUUUUUGAGGCCUCUGUGUGUUUGUUCAGUGGCUAAUGAGUAGAACUGGCAGCAGGCAGGCAGGCAGGCGGGCAGCUAGCUUAGUGGUCGUAGUAAACGGGAGCUAUGUUACCUUCUGCAUUUAGGAGCGCCCGGUGAGGAGAGCUGAUGUACGUAGUGGUGGACUAUUUUUGUCGGCUGUAUCGACUCAACCAUUCAGAGCCUGGCACUCAUGGACAUGACCCUGGGCCAAGAACAUGUUUGACAUACUCAGACACGACAGACUUCUUCCUGAUGAGGUUUAAGAUGGAGACUCCGACAUCAUCAAAUCUGUCGUUCUGCCCCUGAACAAGGCAGUUAACCCACUGUUCCUAGGCCGUCAUUGUAAAUAAGAAUUUGUUCUUAACUGACUUGCCUAGUUAAAUAAAGGUAACAUCAAAAAAAUCAUCGGAGGACAAGAGAGAAGGAGGAAACCGAUGACCUGUGUUGAGAGCCGGCUUUACCAACAUCAGCAAAUCAAUAUUUUUAUACCAGAGUCGUUCUUGAAUUACGGUGGCAUUUGGGUAUGGCGUAAUUAAAAACAACAUGCUUUCUAGAUUUGUAUUUAUUGUAAUGUAUUGACCAUUAGGAUAACAUUGUGCCACCAGUAGGAGUCGUAACACCAAUGAGAAUUUUGUUUAUUGAGGAUUUUCUUAAAUGGAGGCCACCGAUACUUAAAUCUAAGAUCAUUAACCCAUAAAAUAGUUGACUAAAGGGAUAUGAUUAAUAAUUGAGCUCAUAAUGUUAUUUCCCUUUUUAAAUGGACUAACCCCAAGUGACACUGGAUUUAGAUGGAAUCCUCAAAUGUAUGACAAAAUAAAAAAGUGUGAUUAGCUAACAAUUUUCUUUAAUAAAGACCUCUCCCCCGAUGUUUUCCACUGGAGGGAAUGGUCGAGGUCCUUGUAUAUUUUUGUAAUGAGUGGUUUUUCAGGCGGUAACUCCAAGGAAAUAAAACUGAGGGACAGAUAUAGUAGUAAAAAAAAUAUAUAUUUUUUAUAGCCUUUGUUUUCAUUGAUCUAAACAAUAUAUUAAAUACCUUUUUCAUCUUCUAACAUUCAAAAUAAUAUUUAGCUCUAAAUCCCCAAAAUGUCACUACAACUUCACACGUCACUACUGGGACAAGCCAAUGUGAUUACUUGCCCUAAGUACGUUAUACUGCAAAACUUUCUGUUAAUACAUUGUUUAAUGGACUUGCAUUACAGUAGCUAAGAGGUGGCGACGUAUGUCUAUGAUAAGACGCUGCUCUACCUUCUUGACAGCACUGUCAACAAGGCAGGUCCUACAGGCCUACGACUGUUCAGUCGUGUGGUCAGGUGCCACAAAAAAGGACUUUGGAAAAUUGCAUUUGUUUCAGAACAGGGCAGGGCGGCUGGCCCUUGGAUGUACACAGAGAGCUAAUAUUAAUAAUAUGUAUGUCAAUCUCUCCUGGUUCAAAAUGGAGGAGAGAUUGACUCCAUCAUUGCUUGUAUUUAUGAGAGGUAUUGACGUUUUGAAUGCACCGAGCUGUCUGUUUGAACUCCUAGGACACAGCUCGGACACCCAGGCAUAUCCCACAAGACAUGCCACAAGAGGUCUCUUCACAGUCCCCAAGUCCAGAACAGACUAUGGAAAGCGCACAGUACUAAAUAGAGCCAUGACUACAUGGAACUCUAUUCCACAUCUCGUAACUCAUGCAAGCAGUAAAAUUAGAUACAAAAAUAUAUAUAUUUUUAAAUCUUUUAAACACCUUAUCGAACAGCGGGGACUGUGAAUCAAUACAAACAUUGGAGCAUAAACACACGAUAGCAUACGCACUAUACACUCACGCACACAUGGAUUUUGUACGGUAUAUAUGGUGGAGUAGGGGACCUGAGGGCACACAGUCUGUGAAUGUAAUGCUUUUUAUGUUGUAUGAACUGCCUUGGCAGCAGCUAAUGGGGAUACAUAAUAAAUACAAAUUGUUUUAUUAUUGUCUAACUAUUUGUCAGUUUUUCAUGGUUGCAAAGGGACACAUGCCACCACAAUUCAAGAAUGAACCAUGUAUGAUUCUGUGGCUCUCUCACCCGUUUCUCCGAGGCACUUUGGUAUGCCAAGAUACCUGUCUGUAGGCUAUGUUGUUGGAGUGUUCUCUCUCUGACCCUCCUCCAAAAUUGCAUUGAGUCUUGAUUCUUACUUGUACCUUAAUGUGCCUUUCAUUGUUGUUACUAGUUGUGUUCAUAUUUAUUUAGUUAUGUUGCCGAUAAUGAUCCUUCCAGUUUUCAUCAUCUGGAUUCUCUCCUGCUAUAGAACAUUAAAUGAACAUCCCUUCCUCCGUAGGAUCCAUUUCAGUAAUUCAGCAGGGUCAAUAGAUGGGUAUGUGCAUACCGUAUGCCCUGUGAUACUGUAAUCAGGGUUCGUUUGGAGUCCCUUUCACUGACUCCCUGAGGCGCACAGCCAUGGUUAAUAUCAAAUCAAAUGUAUUCAUAAAGCCCUUCUUACAUCAGCUGAUAUCUCAAAGUGCUGUACAGAAACCCAGCCUAAAACCCCAAACAGCAAGCAAUGCAGGUGUAGAAGCACAAUAUGUAUGUCUAUGGUGCCUGCCCAGGGUUAAUAUGUAUGUCUAUGGUGCCCGCCCAGGGUUAACAUGUAUGUCUAUGGUGCCCGCCCAGGGUUAACAUGUAUGUCUAUGGUGCCUGCCCAGGGUUAAUAUGUUUCUCUAUGGUGCCUGCCCAGGGUUAAUAUGUUUCUCUAUGGUGCCUGCACAGGGUUAAUAUGUAUGUCUAUGGUGCCCUCCCAGGGUUAAUAUGUAUGUCUAUGGUGCCCUCCCAGGGUUAAUAUGUAUGUCUAUGGUGCCUCCCCAGGGUUAAUAUAUAUGUCUAUGGUGCCUGCCCAGAGUUAAUAUAUAUGUCUAUGGUGCCUGCCCAGAGUUAAUAUAUAUGUCUAUGGUGCCCGCCCAUGGUGACAGGCUGUCAGCUACAGUAGCUGUUCUACAUAGCCAACAGUGCCCUGCAGCAGCAUCAGAAUGCCCCAGUGGCUCAGAAAAGGCCUCCCUCCACCUACUUCCCAUGGACCUAACCUUUGAUGUUUGCAGAUCUGUAUGGCGGAAGCUUCACCUCUACACUGCUAAUAUCUAUCCAGACCCUUCAGAUCGGCAAACAUGUCCAUAUUAGGGCCAAGGGGAAGGGGUAGGUAGAGAUUGAAUUGAGACCAGCUGUAGUCGUCAAUGUGCUGAAAGAAGAAACCUUGUAUGCCUUCAGUAUCCACACAGGGCUGCUUCAACAGCCACAGGGUGGAGCUAGCUAUUUGUCUAACAGUCCUCUGGUACUGUACUGUGUAGUUGUAUGUAAACAUGUUAAGAUAUACAGUGGCACGGUAUGAAACUGUAACCUAUAGUUAGUUAUAUGUAACUAGCCAUUUAUAAAGUUUCUCUGAUUUGUGAAAUAUAA